CCCAGAUCCCCCGCCUCUGAAUGCUGCCUUUAGUAACUGGACUGCUGACAGGCAUGAGAUGCCUGCCAGCAGUGGCACUGAGCUAGCCCUGGGUGCUGCCAGCCACUCAUCAGUGAAAAGCAAAGGCUGUUUUCCUUUUAGGUAGAAGAGAGAAAGGGAAAACACAAAGACCAAGCUGGGAGACCAAACACUGUCAAGGUGGCAUUUUGCCAACAUGCCACAAAAGCAAGCACAGAGAGACGCCAGAGAGUGAGCAGUUGGCUGGAGUGGAGAAAACACCAGGAAAUGGAAGGAAAAUGAAUGCAGUGUACCAAGUGGCCUCCUUCAUUGCCUGCAUUUUGAAUGCAGUCAGGCUGCACAGUGGAAUGGAAAUCCCUGGCCAAGAUAUACCUCUUAAAAGAAAAUAAUCUCUUCCUCUGUGUGUAUGCCUGCGUCUACAUAUGUAUUGUGGGGACCAGAAUAUACCACCCCAAAAUAUAAAUGACUGUUGAACUGAAGGCAAUUAAGAAGAAGUAGGUACAGGAAAGAGCUCUCCUCUCCCUUUAUUUGCCUAAAAGUAGGACACAGGCUUAUAAGGACAAAAGGAAUCCUGCCCUGCCUUCUUCUCCUAUGGGAGAACAAAGGUUAACCACGGAAGACAACCUUGGGCACUGAUGACCCUGGAGAUGAUACCAGAGGCAUCUCCACGAGCAAGCUUCCCUAACUCGCCUUUAUUUACCAUUAUGUGUCUUCCUGCAAGCUGCUGCCCUGGAGAACCCAAGUCCUUUUCUUUGUCUUGUUACUUCCUUAAAAAUGUACUGUUCUUUGUUAAAAAUGCUAUACAAGCCAGAAUUCAAAGCCAUCCCUUUGAGGACUACUCAUUCCCUUGGCGUCUUUCAUGUACCUAUGAAAUAUACACAUUAAUAAACUU
rnacentral:lncRNA from 1 species